UACGAAGGGGGCUAGCGUUGCUCGGAAUCACUGGGCGUAAAGCGCACGUAGGCGGCUUUUUAAGUCAGGGGUGAAAUCCUGGAGCUCAACUCCAGAACUGCCUUUGAUACUGGAAAGCUCGAGUCCGGAAGAGGUGAGUGGAACUGCGAGUGUAGAGGUGAAAUUCGUAGAUAUUAGGAAGAGCACCAGUGGCGAAGGCGGCUCACUGGGCCCGAUACUGACGCUGAGGACGAAGCGAAC
rnacentral:rRNA from 1 species